GACGAACGCUGGCGGCGUGCUUAACACAUGCAAGUCGAACGCUGAAGCUUGGUGCUUGCACUGGGUGGAUGAGUGGCGAACGGGUGAGUAAUACGUGAGUAACCUGCCCUUGACUCUGGGAUAAGCCUGGGACACUGGGUCUAAUACUGGAUACGACAUGUCACCGCAUGGUGGUGUGUGGAAAGGGUUUUACUGGUUUUGGAUGGGCUCACGGCCUAUCAGCUUGUUGGUGGGGUAGUGGCUCACCAAGGCGAUGACGGGUAGCCGGCCUGAGAGGGUGACCGGCCACACUGGGACUGAGAUACGGCCCAGACUCCUACGGGAGGCAGCAGUGGGGAAUAUUGCACAAUGGGCGGAAGCCUGAUGCAGCGACGCCGCGUGAGGGAUGACGGCCUUCGGGUUGUAAACCUCUUUCAGCACGGAAGAAGCGAAAGUGACGGUACGGGCAGAAGAAGCGCCGGCUAACUACGUG
rnacentral:rRNA from 1 species